GGCCAUCAAAAUAUAAAUAACAUCAAAAACCAAAUAAUAGUUUUUUAAAAAAGCACACAGAAAAGCAAUGUUCCCUUGUCAUGGCACCCCUGGGUCAAAGGGGUCCUUUUAUCUCUACACUGCUUUUCCACUUGAAUCUCUCAAAGAUGCCAGGCCCAGCAUUGCAUGGUGGCUCAGGUCUUUAAUGUCAGCACUUGGGAGGCAGAAGCCGAUGGAUCUCUACGAGCUCAAGGUCAAACUGGUCUACCUAGUGAUUUCAGGUUGCCAGGCUACACAGCAAAACCUCGUCUAAUACAUGCGUACAACCUCAAUUACCCGCCCACGUUUGGGUUUAAAUGGUGUGAGUACUAAGCAACUUUCUUCAUACAAACAAGCACACGGAAACAAAGGGAGCUUUGUCACAGCAAGUUCCAAAACAUACAGAGCUCCAUUAUCAGAAAGGAUGGGAGUAGUCAGCUGACGCGCAAGGCUACCAGCCGCGCGGCCUCUGUGCCUGUCCAAGAAGCGCUUUGUUUUGCAACCAUGCGACCGCUAUGCUGCAGGUGGGAAUCUGGGUGCAAAAGACGGAGCAGAAUGUGAGUGGGAAAUCUGGACCGCUUAAAUCGGCCAGCCUGAACCCUUGCAAACCUCUCGGAGUGGUCAUGAAACAAAGGCGAGUAAUGCCCCGUAUCGCCACCAGAGAGCGCCGUGCCACCAAAAGCACGCGGGCAAUGAGAGCACUCCUCCUUUUGCCACUACCAAGCCCAACCCGCUGGAGAACGUGCGCCAGGUUACUGCUCCGGGUCACUCCCGACCCACAGCCUUGUCUCAUCGGCUCCACCCUGGGGCAAAACCUCUGGAUCUGGGUCCUGGUGGAGUCAGGAUGCCUGGAAAUUCUGAAAGACUGGAGCUUCUGGCAUGGCUCACCUCCCCCUGGAGCUGCUUCACCUCUCUGGGAUUCUGUUUGCCCAUCUGCAGGGCAAGAGUGUUGGUGACUGAGCGGGAAGAGUGAGCUGGCUGUUAUCCUCAAGCUGCCCCAUCCCACUCCCUUUGGGUUCCUUUAAGAAGUCAUCACCCUCCUGCACAUAUGACCUCUUGCAAGACAGUUUCUUGCGUGUGUGUGGAUGUGGGACAAUGUACAGGAGCAAGAGCAACUUGACCAAUAGCUAAGAUCCAGACGCCAUUAAGUGCAAACAGCUCCUUGGAGCAGAGCGGAGCCUCGGGAGCCCUCCCGCCCACGCAGGAAGCCCUCCCCGCCCACGCCGGAAGCCCUCCCCGCCCACGCCGGAAGCCCUCCCCGCCCACGCCGGAAUGCCGACCAUCUUGAUCUUGUGUAGGUAACUCUGCAGCUGCCACGGAUCCGUGAAUGCGACAGCCGUGUGUCCAGAGCAGCGUUCCCCAGCACUCGUCCCCGUCCUGCAUCUCGUGUUUUUUCCAGCUCCCAGUCCACCAUGGUCCCUGAGUUUGGGGGUGUGGGGGUGACAUAGACGUCCCACUCAGGGCUGAGCCCUCAAACGACACUUCGAAAUUAUGAGUCUGUGUUAACUGCCUACCACUGCGGAAAGUUUCUCUGAGCCAGGCUGAGAACAACACUAAUCUUUUUCAUUUCUAAAAUGUUUCUCUUCGUCCUCAGCAUGGGCCCCUGUUCACUCUUCCCUCCCUUUACUCUGCUUCCUACAAUGUUUGUAUUUAUUUAUUUGUCUUUUCUAAGUCCUCCUGUUUUGUUAAUUCUCAUUUAUCUGAUGGCCUGUGAUGUCAUCGCUGUCCUGGUUCACCUCUGUCUUAGUGUGUGAAGAAUGGCUCUGAGGCUGUGAAGAGCAAGAGGCACACAGACCCAGGACUGCAGACCUGGGACUGUAGAUCCAGUACUGCAGACCCAGACCCGGGACUGCA